rnacentral:rRNA from 1 species
UACGUAGGGGGCAAGCGUUGUCCGGAAUCAUUGGGCGUAAAGGGCGCGUAGGCGGCCUGAUAAGUAGGGGGGUGAAAUCCUGUGGCUUAACUGCAGGGCUGCCUCCUAGACUGUUAGGCUCGAGCACGGUAGAGGCAGAUGGAAUUCCCGGUGUAGCGGUGGAAUGCGUAGAGAUCGGGAGGAACACCGGUGGCGAAGGCGGCGACCUGGGUCGAGACUGACGCUGAGGCGCGAAAGCGUGGGGAGCAAACAGG